rnacentral:rRNA from 1 species
ACGAACGCUGGCGGCGUGCUUAACACAUGCAAGUCGCACGGAAAGGCCCUGCUUUUGUGGGGUGCUCGAGUGGCGAACGGGUGAGUAACACGUGAGUAACCUGCCCUUGACUUUGGGAUAACUUCAGGAAACUGGGGCUAAUACCGGAUAGGAGCUCCUGCUGCAUGGUGGGGGUUGGAAAGUUUCGGCGGUUGGGGAUGGACUCGCGGCUUAUCAGCUUGUUGGUGGGGUAGUGACUUACCAAGGCUUUGACGGGUAGCCGGCCUGAGAGGGUGACCGGCCACAUUGGGACUGAGAUACGGCCCAGACUCCUACGGGAGGCAGCAGUGGGGAAUAUUGCACAAUGGGCGGAAGCCUGAUGCAGCAACGCCGCGUGCGGGAUGACGGCCUUCGGGUUGUAAACCGCUUUCGCCUGUGACGAAGCGUGAGUGACGGUAAUGGGUAAAGAAGCACCGGCUAACUACGUG